CCUACGUGAGGCAGCAGUGGGGAAUAUUGCACAAUGGUGGAAACCCUGAUGCAGCAACGCCGCGUGAGUGAAGAAGUAUUUCGGUAUGUAAAGCUCUAUCAGCAGGGGAGCAGAAAGAGGGUACCUGACUAAGAAGCGUCGGCUAACUACGCGCCAGCAGCCGCGGUAAUACGGAGGGGGCAAGCGGUAUCCGGAUUUACUGGGUGUAAAGGGGGCGCAGACGGCAAGGCAAGGCACGAGUGAAAGCCCGGGGCCCAACUCCGGGACUGCUCUUGAAACUGCACGGCUGGAGUAGCGGAGGGGCAGGCGGAAUGCGUAGUGUAGCGGUGAAAUGCGUAGAUAUUAGGAGGAACGCCGGUGGCGAAGGCGGCCUGCUGGACUGAGACUGACGUUGAGGCCCGAAGGCGUGGGGAGCAAACAGGAUUAGAUACCCUAGUAGUC
rnacentral:rRNA from 1 species